UAUCAUAGGACAACAAAUCGAUGACGGCUGAGAUGACAGAAUGGAACAGGUUGCGGUUGUUACGGCAGUGGACCCCGAUGGCGAGGGUAGUGGGGUCGAGAGCAGCGCUCAAGGAGCGCCUCCCGCACAACACCGUGGGCCUUAUUCAACCAGAGCUCGGCCAGGCCGCAGUAAUUUCACUGGACCAAAAAACUUCAGUUCGUAAGCUUAAAUAUAAAAUAUUGGGCUCAGACGAUAGGUCUCAGGAGAGCAAUGAGCCAGUGCCCACCUGCCGCCUUUGGGCGCGGUGGGGAGACCAAAUAUGAGUAAGUUCCGCUAAGGUGGGACGCACUUCCGCUGCCCACUGACAAAUGUAC
rnacentral:lncRNA from 1 species